GAUGAACGCUCGCUACAGGCUUAACACAUGCAAGUCGAGGGGAAACGGCAUCGAAAGCUUGCUUUUGAUGGGCGUCGACCGGCGCACGGGUGAGUAACGCGUAUCCAACCUGCCCAUCACUUGGGAAUAACCUUGCGAAAGUAAGACUAAUGCCCAAUGACAUCCCACGAAGGCAUCCGAAUGGGAUUAAAGAUUUAUCGGUGAUGGAUGGGGAUGCGUCUGAUUAGCUUGUUGGCGGGGUGACGGCCCACCAAGGCAACGAUCAGUAGGGGUUCUGAGAGGAAGGUCCCCCACAUUGGAACUGAGACACGGUCCAAACUCCUACGGGAGGCAGCAGUGAGGAAUAUUGGUCAAUGGGCGGGAGCCUGAACCAGCCAAGUAGCGUGCAGGAUGACGGCCCUAUGGGUGGUAAACUGCUUUUAUAAGGGAAUAAAGUGGGUCACGUGUGACUUUUUGCAUGUACCUUAUGAAUAAGGACCGGCUAAUUCCGUG
rnacentral:rRNA from 1 species